CUACGGGGGGCACCAGUGGGGAAUAUUGCACAAUGGAGGAAACUCUGAUGCAGCAACGCCGCGUGGAGGAUGACACUUUUCGGAGCGUAAACUCCUUUUAUAUAGGAAGAAGAUGACGGUACUAUAUGAAUAAGCGCCGGCUAACUCCGUGCCAGCAGCCGCGGUAAUACGGAGGGCGCAAGCGUUACUCGGAAUCACUGGGCGUAAAGAGCGUGUAGGCGGAUUAAAAAGUCAGAAGUGAAAUCCUAUAGCUUAACUAUAGAACUGCUUCUGAAACUCUUAAUCUAGAAUAUGGGAGAGGGUAAAUGGAAUUUCUUGUGUAAGGGGAAAAUCCGUAGAGAUCAGAAGGAAUACCGAUUGCGAAGGCGAUCUACUAGAACAUUAUUGACGCUGAGACGCGAAAGCGUGGGGAGCAAACAGGAUUAGAUACCCGCGUAGUC
rnacentral:rRNA from 1 species